rnacentral:lncRNA from 1 species
AAAAAGUUAAAAAAUACUACCAGAACUCUUUUGCAAACUCUUCUGGUACGCAAAAUAAAAUUUAAAAAAUAUUUAAAAAUAAAAUAAUAAAUUAGUUAAAAAUAUAUAAGGAUAAAAUUGGUACUUUUUAUAAAAUAUAGGGGUACAUGGAUAAAUGUUGGGGGUAUAAAGUAAAGUUUUCUCAAAUUACACGCGCACCCCN